rnacentral:lncRNA from 1 species
CUGUUAUUAAACUUCUAAUGAAAUGAUUCAGGAGAGAUUGACAUAGGAACUGUUGGUCUUUAAAGCUCUUACUCUAUUUCAGAACGCAGUCAACAUCUUUAUUAACACAGUCUUGUGUUUGCUUUCAGGCAAAAUGAGAUGAACUGAGCACCUGUGCAAACCAGAGCAGUGAUUGCAACAGCAUGCAGUUAUACGAUGUGUACCUGGCACUGUACUGCACGGAUGUCGGGCUUAAAAUACCAACACCAAGGUCCUAAUUAAAACAUGCAUGUUGUUUGGCAACCAGUAGCUUUUGAAAUCAAGGAUUCACAGGAUCAGGCUUUUCUCUCAGAUCUCGUCUCCUCUGCAUUCCAAGUGUAUGUUCAAGGAACUGAUUGAUUCCUUUUUGAUGAGAUUUGGACAUUGAUUGAAAGUGCAGAAGAAGAGUAAUAUCACCUCGGGUUUACUUCUGAGGAAUGCAGUAAAUAGAUACUCCAUGCUUUAACCCCGAAGACUCCAACCAAAAAUUGAUGUGCAAAUCUAUGAAGAACAGCCUGGAAAAGAAUAGCACAGGGAACACAGGCCCAUCCAGAAGGCUAUAAUGCCUUGCUUUUUCCACCCUUGCUGCUGGUGCUGGUGAUACCCUCAGUAUGAAUUUCAGAUCAGCAGAUAUAAUUAAUGAUGGACUGAAAAUCAGCAUCUACAUAUCAAGACCCAGGAGCAAUUCACUGUGCAUCCAGUUUGCACCAAGCGAUGUUGAAAUAAUGCCUAAGGUACUAUAAAGUAGUCUGAAGGAGAAAUACAAAGCCUUGAAAUCAAGCACAUAAAUAGAGAUUAUUGUCAUUGAUGCUGUUUGAUAAGUUCAAAUUGAU